rnacentral:tRNA from 1 species
UGGGGUAUGGUGUAACGGUAGCACAACUGACUCUGGAUCAGUUUGUCUAGGUUCAAAUCCUAGUACCCCAG